GGAGUUUUAUGUUUUAAAAUAAUUUUAACAGUCAUCUGAACCGAAGGAACAGAGCGUUAAUCUGGAAACAUACGGUCAGAACGUGAUAUAAGAACGGGAGAAAUAGGAAGAUGCGUUGCACCGCGCGUCCGGAUAAACGAAAAGUGAUUUUGCAACAUCUGUAAUAGGCUCUGUAUAAUACGCGUACGUGGUUCAGAUUUGAUAGGAGUUGUAUUUUGUACGGUUGGCGUAACUUUUAGAAACUUAGCAGAAGUUUUUGGCGGUUUUAUGUUGUAAUUUUUAGGACGCUGCUCUUCUUAACUUAUACGUAAAUUGGUUAAGAUAAUUAUUUUAUUUUUUUAUUUAAGAAGUAGCAGGUUAACGUGUAGCAUAUGUGCAAACUUUGUUUGCUCUUUUUAUUUGACAUAAAACAUCAAAUUAACCAAUAGGCCUAUAACAAUUAGAAUAGGAAUGAUAAUACAGGGUAAGCAAUGAAACGAUAUUCGUGGAACACGCUAUAGCGCUAAAUACACUAUAGUAUAUGCUACUAUAUUUUAAUGUUUAAACCAAGUUUGGACAAUUUUAUAUUAACAUUUUUAUCAGAAACAAUAAAGAUGGCCAAAAUUUCAUUGAUUUUAUUGCUUGUUGUUGUCUUAAUGCAUUGUGCAAGUGCUGAUCCAUACUGGGGAAACACAAAUACUCAUAUUCGUCGGAGAGUCGUCACUCCAACACCAGCACCUACUCCAGCGCCCACAACUCGACGCAGACGCCGCCGAUGGGGAUGGAAUAAUGUUGAAGCUUCGGAAGAAACCGACCAGGUACAAGAACUUGAAGAUAUUCUGAACGAAGAAUAAUUUGUUGUUUUAUUGACCAAUUUAAAGUUAUUUAUGCGGAUUGACUGUUCGAGGAAAAAGUUUUCUGUUUAUUGUUUGAUCGGAACGUGCGGGAAAAAAGCAAUUUAAUAAAAGGCCAAAAUUACGGAAAUACAA